rnacentral:rRNA from 1 species
GAUGAACGCUGGCGGCGUGCCUAAUACAUGCAAGUCGAGCGAACGGACGAGAAGCUUGCUUCUCUGAUGUUAGCGGCGGACGGGUGAGUAACACGUGGAUAACCUACCUAUAAGACUGGGAUAACUUCGGGAAACCGGAGCUAAUACCGGAUAAUAUUUUGAACCGCAUGGUUCAGAAGUGAAAGACGGUCUUGCUGUCACUUAUAGAUGGAUCCGCGCUGCAUUAGCUAGUUGGUAAGGGAACGGGUUACCGAGGCAACGAUGCAUAGCCGACCUGAGAGGGUGGUCGCCCACACUGGAACUGAGACACGGUCCAGACUCCUACGGGAGGCAGCAGUAGGGAAUCUUCCGCAAUGGGGGAAAGCCUGACGGAGCAACGCCGCGUGAGUGAUGAAGGUCUUCGGAUCGUAAAACUCUGUUAUUAGGGAAGAACAUAUGUGUAAGUAGCUGUGCACAUAUUGACGGUACCUAAUCAGAAAGCCACGGCUAACUACGUG